AACGAACGCUGGCGGCAGGCUUAACACAUGCAAGUCGAACGCCCAUCUUCGGGUGGGAGUGGCGGACGGGUGAGUAACGCGUGGGAACGUGCCCUGUUGGUUCGGAACAACGUCUGGAAACGGACGCUAAGACCGGAUACGCCCGGCCCUGGAAGGGGUCGGGGAAAGGCGAAAGCUGCCGGAGGAGCGGCCCGCGUCCGAUUAGCUUGAUGGUGGGGUAACGGCCCACCAUGGCGUCGAUCGGUAGCUGGUCUGAGAGGAUGGCCAGCCACAUUGGGACUGAGACACGGCCCAAACUCCUACGGGAGGCAGCAGUGGGGAAUAUUGGACAAUGGGCGCAAGCCUGAUCCAGCCAUGCCGCGUGAGUGAUGACGGCCUUAGGGUUGUAAAGCUCUUUCGCACGCGACGAUAAUGACGGUAGCGUGAGAAGAAGCCCCGGCUAACUUCGUGCCAGCAGCCGCCGUAAUAC
rnacentral:rRNA from 1 species